ensembl:lncRNA
GUGCAGAAAUCCCACCCCGCUCCUCUUCUUCUUCCUCCUCUCCCUCCUCCGAGCGCGGGUUUUUAACACGAACUCAACGCGUCUCCUCAGUACCUCAACGUGUGGUGGCUGGGGGAGCUGGGAGCCCCGCCACGUCUCCCCCCUUUUUUUGGGUUUGGUUUUCAUUUUUAUUUUUUUUUUUUCCCCCCCUUUUUGGUUUUUUUUUUUUUUUUUUUUAAUUUUUUGUCCUCUCUCCCCCUUUUUUAAUUAUUCUUAAUGACCACUUCGACGUUCCGCCAGCGCGGCUCCUGCCGCCGCGGAGCACAGCGGGGCCUCUCGGCGCUCUCCUCUGUUAUUAAAUGGAUUUUCACUCUCGAAUGGUCUUUAUUUUUUAAAGCAAUCGGCUCAGUCCCGCCCUGCACAGCGGGGUUUUUUUUAAGCCAACACGCCGUACUCCUAACUUUGAACUGAAUGGGAGCCCGCUGUUCAUUCCAAAGUUCCAGCUAUUGCUGUGUGACGCCUCCCAGGCUCUCGUAGGACCGUCGUCGUCCCUCCGGUUCUGUCUCACACCACGCACGCCCGCCCUCUCAUUUCAGCUGCCUUCUUAAUUUAUUGUCUCCAUCCCUCUCCCGGCCGCCCCGCUCCGUUUGCUCCGUAUUUAUUGGCAGAAGUGAGGCACGGCCGAGGGCGGCUCAUCCCAGCGGGGCCGUCCCCACGCGCCCCCCGCCGCCCCUUUUGAAGGGAAUUUUUAACCAGGACUCUCUUCCGUUUUCCUGUUUUUAACUCUCCUCCAUCACGAAAGGACUCGGUUUCCGACGCCCUCCCGGGAGCAAUAGUAAUUCCUGCGUGUCCGCCCGGCGCCGUACACUCGUACUGUAUUUUGUACUGUAAGGCAGCUGUCCCAGUGAUGUCCUGCUGUAUUGCUGUGUGUGUCCGCGCCAGCAGCGCCGCGUCCCCUCGCUUCGGUGCUGAUGGACUUUCUGUUGCUCAGCUGCUGGGAGCCACUCCGGUUCUUGCGCCGACGCGGGCGGUACCUCUCCUUUUCGAAGAGGGUUAUAUAUAUAUAUAUAUAAAUAUAUAUAUUCUUUUUGGGUUUAUUUUUUUUUCUCCUUUUUUUGGUUUUUUUUUUGGAUUUUUUUUUGGCUGAAUUCGCCUUACCUUUCUUACUCCGUGGUAGCGCCGCUUAGGAGCCACGUGGAAAAGGGAAGAGGCAAACAUCACGCAAGCCAAAAAAAACCCAACACCCAGCACAUCUGUCCCACCCGGCGCCGGCUCUGAGCGCUGUAUCUAUGUACAGAAACCUCCCACAGCUCCAUUUGACCUUCCAGCACACGGGUGAGAAGAGCAGAGCGCGUCGGGGGAAGAAAUCUCGCAGCAACAAAGAGAGAACAAGCAGAGCGGUGCGGUGUUUUCUGGCCGCAGCCACACGGAGAGGCUGAGCGAGGCCCGGAUGCACCCCGCGAGGGGAGGAGAGGGGUUGUGGUGGUGGUCUGCCGUGCUCGGUGGUGGGAGCCGACUCCCCUCCUGCUCCCCAACGCCAGCGGGCAGAGCCGGGCUUCGCGUGGCGGCGGUUCGGUUGUUCCUUCUGUGUCUGUAUACACACAGCCCUGUAUGUGUGUAUAGAUAUGAGGUGGUUGUUUCGCUUGGUUGGUUUUUGUUUUUGUUUUUCUUUUUCAAUGGCUUGGAUUCUGUAGGAGACGGGCAAAAGGCUUUUAUCCGGAAGGGGAACGCCGGGUUUGUGGAGCUUCCAGAUUUCUGUCGCCCCGGAAGGGACGGUUUGAGAGCGCGACUCUAUCAAAGCAUCUGCUGUACAAACGGAAAUGUAAAUCUUGUAUAGCGCCCCAGAACCUCGUGUAAAUAGCCGAGACGUCCGGGCCGGCCGCCCGCGUGGAUCAGCCCAAGAAUCAAAUCCCACGGCUCCGUCAAAGUCAAAACUGCUUCGAUUUUCCCCGCUCCCUCCCAAGAGAAAACGGAAACGCUGCGUUACCCCGCGUGCUUCCGGCCGCCCCGGGGUAACGGGCGCAGGAGUUGGCUGCAGUGAUCCCCUCAUAUUGAGUGGUCCAUCACUCCGUGACAGCGGAGGGCGACUCGUCGGGAUGCGGCCGCUCCCCGGCGCGGUUCCGAGGCGCUUCGCUCCCCAGCUGCUCCGCUCUGCACUGAGGGGCAGCUUCUCUCGUUGGCGGAAAAGAAAACCCACCUCGCCGGCUUCUCUUUUAAAAUAGAAGAUGAAAAAAAAAAAAAAUUAAAAAGGAAAAAAAAAAAAAGUUAAAAAGAACCGUGAAGCGAGUGGUGAUGGUACGCGGGGCGGCGCGGCGACCGUCUCUCAGCAGAUAUUUGCCACGGGGCCGGGAGCAGAUUGAGAAGAUGGCCGUUGGAAGAGCAGCUCAGCUCCGUGCCGGGAGGUUUUGGGGACGUCUGUGCGUGCUGCGGGUCCCUCCUCGUCCUCCCGUGGCUGCGGCGGUGCCCGGCAGGGCGCUGCUGCUGGGUGUGGUGGUGUUGGCUCUGAGCGUGGCACAUUCCAGGCCCGCUGUGAGGCGACGGGCGGCUCCUGGAGGCAGCGCGAGGCCGACAAGAUGGCGGAGCAGGCGGUUAUCCCGGGGCGCAGGAGGAGCCGGGGGCCGCUGGAUGGCAAAACACCUUGCAAGGAGGGCCGGGCCUGGCUCCUGCAAUAUCUGCUGAGAGACCAAAACGUCGUUCACGUCCUCCCCGCGUACCUUGACGAAAGAAGAAAGUUUUAUUCCUCUUAUUUUUUUAAUGAAAGAAAGAAAAAAAAAAUAAAAGCAAACCAUGCACUUUACGCGGCCCAGCGCGGGGCUGCCCGGGGGGGUCCCGUCCCCUCUCCCACGGCGGCGGGGCCGAUUCUCAUUCCCUUCCUCUGCGGCCGGCGGGGCGGCUUCGGGAGCGCCGGGGAGCGGCCGGCGUUUGCCGAAGGCAGGUCCUGGAUUUACCACUAGCAAAAGAUGACGCCCGACGUGACGAACUCCUCAUGCUAGCGAGCACUCCUUACCGUAGCAGAUUUUUGCAAAUGGAGUUUUACAGUCUAUAUUUAAAGAAUUGUAUGUUUGUAACAAAUAAAAAAAAAAAAAAAGUAUGCGGAAAAGUGAAUGAAAAAAAAAAAAAAAACAACAAAAAAA